rnacentral:rRNA from 1 species
AACGAACGCUGGCGGCGUGCUUAACACAUGCAAGUCGAACGAUGAAGCUGGAGCUUGCUCCGGUGGAUUAGUGGCGAACGGGUGAGUAACACGUGAGCAAUCUGCCCUUGACUCUGGGAUAACUGCGGGAAACUGUAGCUAAUACCGGAUACGAGGCCCGAAGGCAUCUUCGGGUCUGGAAAGAAUUUCGGUCAAGGAUGAGCUCGCGGCCUAUCAGCUUGUUGGUGAGGUAAUGGCUCACCAAGGCGACGACGGGUAGCCGGCCUGAGAGGGUGACCGGCCACACUGGGACUGAGACACGGCCCAGACUCCUACGGGAGGCAGCAGUGGGGAAUAUUGCACGAUGGGCGAAAGCCUGAUGCAGCAACGCCGCGUGAGGGAUGAAGGCCUUCGGGUUGUAAACCUCUUUUAGCAGGGAAGAAGCGAAAGUGACGGUACCUGCAGAAAAAGCACCGGCUAACUACGUGCCAGCCGCCGCGGUAA